CUUCUGGUGAUAACAAUGAAAGAAAAUACCAUUGGUGUUAUGAAAAAGGAUAAUUUCAAUUGCCAGGAUUGAUUAUAAAACAUUAAGACAUUAACAACUUUCAUAAAUUAGUCUAUCUCAUCUUUAUCAUCAAAGUGAAAGUAAUACUCUAAUUUAAUUAAGUUCAAUCAAGAAUUUCUCAAGCAAUUAAACGGUAUAUUUAUACACAUUUGUACGAUAAGGAAGAUGUUACAAUUGUGCUCAAAGAAAAAGAUUCUCAUCAAUCGCCUAGAGGAAUUGGAAAAUUAGUUGCGAAUUUUGAAUGAUAAUCAGAAUUUGAGCGAAAGAAAAACAAAUUGUUACUGUUUAUUGGAAACAGGAAACAAAUGAUUUAGAUAAAGCUCUUAAUUAACAAUUAAUACACAAUAUCGAGUUAUAAUUAGUUAAAAACGUGAAAAGAUCAACCUAAAAUCGACAUGAUUGGAAUUUGAAUUGGACGAAAAAAAAUCGAAUUGAUUAAUUAUUGAUUGUGUCAUAGUCAAUGAAGAAUUAAGAUUAAAAGAAAUUAAUUCCGGAAAUGAUGAUCAUCGGGAAGACAAAAGGAAUCAACAAAACCAAUUAUAAUUAUAAUAUUAAUCUAAUAACAACAAUCACCUUAAAUUGCACCAACUUUAAUCAACUAAAAAACGGAUUACAAUUGUGAUUAAGCGAGACAACGAUUGUUUAAUUACUAAACUAAUGUAAUUGGAAAACUUUUAAUUGUUAUGAUCAACAAUGUAUAUUGAUACAAGUAAUAGUAAUUUGUUGAUCACUAACAACUUUCAAUUGCAAAUGAUUAAGGUUGAAAUUAAUUACCUUCAUUAAUCAGCGUUUUAUCAUAAUCAACAAGAAACAAACAAUCAACAAGGAUAAUCAUCAUGAAAUUAAUCAGUUAAUUAGCGACAACAUUAAUUAGCCUGUUUUAUUUUGGCCUAAAACUGGUGUGAUUGGACAUUUGGAUGGACAUUACUUGCUAUCAACCAGAUAAAUGAUGGACAAUCAACUUUAGAUUGAUAAUUAAGAAGAGAAAAAAGUGAAAAUUCUUGUGCCUGAUUGUUAAUCAAGUUAAUUAUUUCUUCUGAUGGGAACAGGUGAAAACAAUUACAGGGUCAGAUGAGUCGAAAAAUGAAAAUGUUCAAAAAUUCAUUUCGCUUUCUUUACCGAUGCCAAACACCAAACAAUCAAGCCCGAUUGAACAAUUAGAUCAAAUUGUUUUCAACUUCGUUAUGUUUACAAUUAACAUCAUCACCAUUAACCACUAAAAGAAACCACUGACAGACAAACACACACACACAUACACUCACUCAAUCAAACCAAACCAAACAAAAAAAAUUUACUAAUUAAUGGCCAUCAAAUUAACAAUUAAACCAAAUGAACGGACAGAUGAUCAACCAGUUAAUGCACAUAAUCAAAUGGAAAGCUAACCAUUGAAUUAACAAAGAUACAAAAUUGAUAGAAAUCAAUUUGCUCGUCCAACUCGAAUAACAAUUUAAAUCCAAAGGAGUAAAAUUAACUAAUCAACUUCCUGCUAGUUAAAUUAUUGAUCAAUUUAGGCUUCUGCGGAGGAUGUUAAUUGUUAAUCAACGGGAGUAUCUUCACCUUUAUUCAUCCAUAACCAACCAGUACCUUUAUUAUCAACAGCAUAAUUAUUACUCUUCCCUUAAUCAUCAUGAUAAUAAAAUGGAAGUCGCUUCAUCUUCUAUUAGCUGUUAAUCAUCUUAAAUUGUUCCAGUUUAGAUGAAUUUUCUAUUCGCUUCAUUUAUGUCCAAUUCUCUUGAUUGGUUUGAUCGUCAUCGUCUUCGUCGUCGUCUUCUUUACACCCUCGACCUCCGUGCGUUAAUUCACAAUCACACGCUCACGCUCAUACUUAUGGAUUAGUGGAUCAUCCCAGUUAAACUCAUUUCUCAAGGUGAGAAAUGAAUUAAGACAAAAAAGAUCAUUUUUCCAUCUUCUUUUCUCAUCAUGAUCCGUAUCAUCAUUUACAAUUAUUAACUAUUGAUUAACAUUUGUGAUAUACCCAAAAAUGAGACAAAUUGUUAAUCACAAUUUGUCUGAUUGUGAACAAAAUAAUCAAUUUAAUUGGAACGAGAAAAAUCAACAAUCAAUAGGUUUGGUUGUAAACUUGUCUCUUUGUUUUCAUCAUCAUUAUUUUCCCUUCUUGAUUGUUAAUCAAUUGUGAUUAGUUAAUUUAGAUUUUCUCAUAGUCUAAGUUUCUAAAUAAUUGCGAUUCCUGAUGUGAAACUUUGAUUCAUAAUUAACAAUCAAUUUUUCAUUCAUUCAACUAAUUAACUUUGAUAUUGUCUUAAUUGAUAAUUUAAUUACAAUAUUCAUUGAGCAAUUUUUGUCGGUUGUACAAUUUAAAGUAAAUUUACAAAACUGACCUUUUAAUCAAUAAUUAACUUGAUGAAUAUUAAUUGUGACCUGUUGAAGAAAAAUUUUCACUCAAACAAUUAACCAAAUAUGCUAAUCAAAUUGUGAUUACAAGCAAAUACAACGCAGCUAAACAAAAUUAACCUAAUUGAAUUUAAUGAUCAACAAUCAAGUGAUAAAAUUGAUCAACAAAUACAAAACUAAUUAACUUGAAAACUGUUAACAAAAUUUACCUUUAACCAUCAACCGAUUGGAAUAACAAAUUAGAUUCAAAUUAUUGACAAUCAAAUCUCACCUAAUUGUCAUUAUCUAUAUAUAUUGACUAUUAUGGUUUACCGUUAAUUGUAACUUAAUUGUUGAGAAAAUUAAAUUUAAAUCACUUACCUGGAGG